GCCCUCUUAGCUCAGUCGGUUAGAGCAGCGAACUCAUAAUUCGUCGGUCGUCGGUUCGAGCCCGACAGGGGGCA
rnacentral:tRNA from 1 species